CAGUAGCCGCGGGAAUACGUAGGGGGCAAGCGUUAUCCGGAAUUACUGGGUGUAAAGGGAGCGUAGACGGUUAAACAAGUCUGAAGUGAAAUGCCGGGGCUCAACCCCGGAGCUGCUUUGGGAACUGUAGAACUGGAGUGUCGGAGGGGUAAGCGGAAUUCCAUGUGUAGCGGUGAAAUGCGUAGAUAUAUGGAGGAACACCAGUGGCGAAGGCGACUCUCUGGUCCAUUCCUGACGUUCAUACACGAAAGCGUGGGGAGCAAACAGGAUUAGAGACCCGGGUAGUCCCUGUCUCUUAUAA
rnacentral:rRNA from 1 species